rnacentral:rRNA from 1 species
CAGGGCGGCAGCGUACACAUGCAGUCGAGCGGUAACAGGGGUAGCUUGCUACCCGCUGACGAGCGGCGGAUUGGUGUGUAAUGCAUAGGAAUCUGCCCGAUAGUGGGGGAUAACCUGGGGAAACCCAGGCUAAUACCGCAUACGUCCUACGGGAGAAAGGGGGCUCCGGCUCCCGCUAUUGGAUGAGCCUAUGUCGGAUUAGCUAGUUGGUGAGGUAAUGGCUCACCAAGGCAACGAUCCGUAGCUGGUCUGAGAGGAUGAUCAGCCACAUCGGGACUGAGACACGGCCCGAACUCCUACGGGAGGCAGCAGUGGGGAAUAUUGGACAAUGGGCGAAAGCCUGAUCCAGCCAUGCCGCGUGUGUGAAGAAGGCCUUCGGGUUGUAAAGCACUUUCAGCGAGGAAGAACGCCUAGUGGUUAAUACCCAUUAGGAAAGACAUCACUCGCAGAAGAAGCACCGGCUAACUCCGUGCCAGCAGCCGCGGUAAUACGGAGGGUGCAAGCGUUAAUCGGAAUUACUGGGCGUAAAGCGCGCGUAGGUGGCUUGAUAAGCCGGUUGUGAAAGCCCCGGGCUCAACCUGGGAACGGCAUCCGGAACUGUCAAGCUA